GCUCAGUAACACGUGGACAACGUACCCUAAAGUGGAGCAUAAUCUCGGGAAACUGAGGAUAAUUCUCCAUAGACCAUGAGAUCUGGAAUGACUUAUGGUUCAAAGUUCCGGCGCUUUAGGAUCGGUCUGCGGCCUAUCAGGUAGUAGUGGGUGUAACGUACCCCCUAGCCGUUGACGGGUAUGGGCCUUGAGAGAGGGAGCCCAGAGUUGGAUUCUGAGACACGAAUCCAGGCCCUACGGGGCGCAGCAGUCGCGAAAACUUCACAAUGGGCGAAAGCCCGAUGAGGGAAUUCCUAGUGCUAGCACUUUUGUGCUAGCUUUUCUUCAGCGUAGAUAACUGGAGGAAUAAGGGCUGGGUAAGACGGGUGCCAGCCGCCGCGGUAAUACCCGCAGCCCGAGUGGUGGUCGAUUUUAUUGAGUCUAAAACGUUCGUAGCCGGUCUAAUAAAUCCUUGGGUAAAUCGGAAGGCUUAACUUUCCGAAUUCCGAGGAGACUGUUAGGCUUGGGAUCGGGAGAGGUAAGAGGUACUUCAGGGGUAGGGGUAAAAUCCUGUAAUCCUUGGAGGACCACCGGUGGCGAAGGCGUCUUACUAGAACGAAUCCGACGGUGAGGGACGAAGCCCUAGGUCGCAAACGGGAUUAGAUACCCCGGUAGUCUAGGGUGUAAACGCUGCAGACUUGGUGUUGGGGGCCCUUCGGGGGCAUUCAGUGCCGGAGAGAAGUUGUUAAGUCUGCUACUUGGGGAGUACGUCCGCAAGGAUGAAACUUAAAGGAAUUGGCGGGGGAGCACCGCAACGGGAGGAGCGUGCGGUUUAAUUGGAUUCAACACCGGAAAACUCACCAAGGGAGACCAUCACAUGAAAGCCAGGCUAAUGACUUUGCUUGAUUCUUGG
rnacentral:rRNA from 1 species